UACGUAGGGUGCAAGCGUUAAUCGGAAUUACUGGGCGUAAAGCGUGCGCAGGCGGUGAUGUAAGACAGAUGUGAAAUCCCCGGGCUCAACCUGGGAACUGCAUUUGUGACUGCAUCGCUGGAGUGCGGCAGAGGGGGAUGGAAUUCCGCGUGUAGCAGUGAAAUGCGUAGAUAUGCGGAGGAACACCGAUGGCGAAGGCAAUCCCCUGGGCCUGAACUGACGCUCAUGCACGAAAGCGUGGGGAGCAAACAGG
rnacentral:rRNA from 1 species